rnacentral:rRNA from 1 species
UGAGCAAUCUGCCCUUCUCAUCGGAAUAAGCGUUGGAAACGACGUCUAAUGCCGAAUACGACCUCCUUUCGCAUGAUCGGAGGUGGAAAGCUCCGGCGGNGAAGGAUGAGCUCGCGGCCUAUCAGCUAGUUGGUGUGGGUAAUGGCCCACCAAGGCGACGACAGGUAGCCGGCCUGAGAGGGUGACCGGCCACACUGGGACUGAGACACGGCCCAGACUCCUAGGGAGG